UACGGAGGGGGCGAGCGUUAUUCGGAAUUACUGGGCGUAAAGGGCUCGUAGGCGGCCAACUAAGUCAGACGUGAAAUCCCUCGGCUUAACCGGGGAACUGCGUCUGAUACUGGAUGGCUAGAGGUUGGGAGAGGGAUGCGGAAUUCCAGGUGUAGCGGUGAAAUGCGUAGAUAUCGGGAGGAACACCAGUGGCGAAGGCGGUUGCCUGGGGCUUUGCUGACGCUGAUGCGCGAAAGCGUGGGGAGCGAUCCGG
rnacentral:rRNA from 1 species